CGUAGAUUUCAUAUCAGCGAGAAAUUAUCUAAAACAAAUAAAAGAUUCCAUUAAUGCACACCUUUAUAGGGUUAGUGUUCCCCAUAUCUACAGGUUAGUGUUCCCCAUAUCUACAGGUUAGUGUUCCCCAUAUCUACAGGUUAGUGAUCCCCAUAUCUACAGGUUAGUGUUCCCCAUAUCUACAGGUUAGUGUUCCCCAUAUCUACAGGUUAGUGUUCCCCAUAUCUACAGGUUAGUGUUCCCCAUAUCUACAGGUUAG